ensembl:lncRNA NUBPL-DT NUBPL divergent transcript
CUUUGGGUUUGUUGGCUCAGGAACCCAAUCUGCAUGAUCUUGUUUAUAGCCAGCUACAAACAUUUUGCAGCGUUUUACUAAACGUUUGUGAAGUGUUGUCAUAUAAAACAUCUCUUAUGAUACUUACAGAAGUCCCGAGGUAGACAGAAGACUUACCUAGUAUACUCUUUUUAUGGACAAGAAAACGGAGAAAGUUUAAAGAGACUUGACCCAGCUUAACAAAAAAGCAGAUAAAGCCAAUGCAAGAGAGAAGAAGAAAGUAGAUCAUAAGAGAUCAUGUUACCAUAG